rnacentral:rRNA from 1 species
GACGAACGCUGGCGGCGUGCUUAACACAUGCAAGUCGAACGGUGAAGCGCCUUCCUUUUUGGUGGGUGUGGAUGAGUGGCGAACGGGUGAGUAACACGUGAGUAACCUGCCCCCUUCUUCUGGAUAACCGCAUGAAAGUGUGGCUAAUACGGGAUAUUCUGGGUCUGUCGCAUGAUGGGUCUGGGAAAGAUAUUGUUUCGGUGGGGGAUGGGCUCGCGGCCUAUCAGCUUGUUGGUGGGGUGAUGGCCUACCAAGGCGGCGACGGGUAGCCGGCCUGAGAGGGUGGACGGUCACACUGGGACUGAGACACGGCCCAGACUCCUACGGGAGGCAGCAGUGGGGAAUAUGGCACAAUGGGCGCAAGCCUGAUGCAGCGACGCCGCGUGAGGGAUGGAGGCCUUCGGGUUGUGAACCUCUUUCGCCAGUGAAGCAGGCCUGCCUCGUUUGUGGGUGGGUUGACGGUAGCUGGAUAAGAAGCACCGGCUAACUACGUG